rnacentral:lncRNA from 1 species
GUAAUUGAGUGGGUGUGCAGGUGAGAGUUUCCACUUAAUAGGUUGCCUCUCCUGUGCUGUCACUAGGAAGAACAGAGGGUAGUGACACUGGGAGAAAAGGAGAGCGGAGAGACGGAGAGAGAGAGAGGCUCUACACAUCAUCCGCAGCUGAUACAGACAGUUUCAUCCUCAGACUUUUGCUCAACGCUACACACGGAAACUUAAGAAGUGCCAGAUGUUUCAGUGCACAGAGCAGGACUGUUACAAGACUUGGAUAACCAAAGACCCAAUGCCUUGUCCCCUCAACCAGCCCUACUGUGAGCUGAAAAAGAUAACAACUGGUUCAUCAACAACCUGGAUGGGAGGCUGCAAUGCCAACUGCACAAUAAACACCUGGUGUACGACCACAACAGAUACAUGCCACCAAGAGUGCUGCAACACCUCCAUGACCUCCUGCCUCAAGCUGGAUGGUACUCUGAACGUUCCUUCUUCUGCCACUAGGGGUCUGCACUUCCCUUUAGCAAUGUUCACUGCUGCUCUGCUGGUUUGUCUGCUCAGCAUUGGUUCUCUGGCUUAAACUGGGUCGUGUUCAGUAGGUACCAAGCGGGGGAAAAAAUUAUUGAAAGAGGGAGGAAAUACCUUGACUUGUCCGUUGCAAAAUGGUUUAAAACGUUGCCUGUCGUGUGACUUAAUGAACACAACCCUGAUGUGUCGACCUACUGAGCCAUUGCUUGAAUAAUAUACAGCGAGCGGUAGUAGUUAGCACAGCAAAACCUGGUUCCAUUCCACAUGAAUACUAUACUGGUUGUAGGUCUAGCCUACUCUUUUUUUGUUUGUUUGUUUGUUUGCUUGUAUAUGAGAUGUAUUGAGAUACUGUAUAUGAAGGCUCAUAUGUGCUUUUGAGAAAUUUAGGCAAUUUAAGUGAUAAUGAUUCCCCUAUGUGAGUCCAAACCAAAUGGGUUUAAAGGGUAUUAUUGAAGAAUAU